UGGGGAAUAUUGCACAAUGGAGGGAACUCUGAUGCAGCGACGCCGCGUGAACGAAGAAGGCUUUCGAGUCGUAAAGUUCUUUUAUAUGGGAAGAUAAUGACGGUACCAUAAGAAAAAGCCCGGCUAACUACGUGCCAGCAGCCGCGGUAAUACGUAGGGGGCUAGCGUUGUCCGGAAUCACUGGGCGUAAAGGGUUCGCAGGCGGAAAUGCAAGUCAGGUGUAAAAGGCAGUAGCUUAACUACUGUAAGCAUUUGAAACUGCAUAUCUUGAGAAGAGUAGAGGUAAGUGGAAUUUUUAGUGUAGCGGUGAAAUGCGUAGAUAUUAAAAAGAAUACCGGUGGCGAAGGCGACUUACUGGGCUCAUUCUGACGCUGAGGAACGAAAGCGUGGGUAGCAAACAGG
rnacentral:rRNA from 2 species